CACCUUUUGUAGUUCAUGAGCUUGAUUGGAUUUUCAUGCUGUUCAGUGAGAUAUGCCUUCCUCAAGCCUUGCUAUGACAUUGGCACAUUCCCCACGGGACA